AAAAAAUAUCACAAAAUAAACAUGGUUUACUUUUCCAUCCCUGUAUGCUGCCUCACUCAGCUCUUGUGGAAAAGUUACAAUCCCUUAUUAUCAUCACCCCUUACCUCAUCCCUUUUUUCCACAGUAGAAAAAGGGUAAAGCUUUAGGACGUAACUGGGCAACUACUGGGAAAGCAAGUAGAAAGGACAGCUGUCUAUAUGAGACAUCAAUAGCUUCGAUAAUUCCCUGUAAAUUCCUGAAGCGUUGGUAUACUCAGACAGGGUGUGAGGGCACUGCCAAAUCAUCUGGAGGUCAGAGUGACAGCACCAGAAGAAGAGAGCAAGGAGUGAGAAUGACCUCCUGGGCGAGAACGGUUCCUAAUAUUAACCUUCCCCACUUCUCUUAGAGCAUUGUUUAUUGUCAGGACCACCAGCCAGCACAUCAACCUCCAUUCCCCUUUCUCCAUUUAUAUGACCAUCAUCUGUAAGAAGCCUUGAAAGAAUAACUCAGCCCGUGGGGAAGAUUGCAAAUACAAGCCAAGAGAGUACUCCCCAAGAUAAUCUUCCCUACAUCUCUGAGAAGGGGAGUAAAAGGAAGAAACAAGGAUACAGAGGCAUACAGGGAAGACCAGGAGAAGGCACGAGGAGAAGAUGACCAUCUUGAAGCCAAGAUGAGAGAUCUCAGAAGAAAACUGCCCUGCCAACUCCUUGAUCUCAGAUUUUUAUAUAUUUAUUUAUUUUAUUGUACUUUAGAUUCUGGGGUACAUGGGCAGAUCAUGCAGAAUUGUUGCAUGGGUACAUACAUAGCAAUAUAGUUUGCUGCCUCAAUC
rnacentral:lncRNA from 13 species